rnacentral:lncRNA from 1 species
CUAUUCUGUAAAUGUUCAAUGAACUAGAGAAUGAUUCUUGGGUAGUUAAUAUUGUCAAUGUUGAUGAACUCUUUUCCUUCGCUGAAAGCAGCUACUUUGUUGGAGGUUUCAAUUCUGCGUGGCAAUUUGCAGCAUUUCUAGUGGUACUGCUCCACAUUUUACAGCUUUAUGAAGAAGGUGUUUACUUUUUUUGAAAUUACCUUGAGACAUUUCAAACUGUGCAGAAGAUAUAUGCACAAAAGCAAAUGUCUUGCAGUUUGCUAUAGCCACUUAUACAUCAUCUGGCUCUUGAAUAGCUUUAAUUCAGCUGUUGAAUCUCACUUGAAUUUGAGCAAAACCUUCAUCUUUAUAUGUAUCUGGACAAAUUACUUCAAUUGCUUGACAGUAAUGACCAAUCAAUUUAUUUAAAAUAGUAUCAUUUAGUAGGACAGUGUUUUUCUCUGGUUUGAGCAACGAAUUCAACCAGUCCUCUGGGUUGAUCAUCAUCAUCAUCAUCAUUUGGUUAUCAGUUCCUGAGUUAUUUUUACCAGGGAGUUUUAUACCUUUAGACAGCUAUUUUGAAUUAUCUCAGGAAUGUCAUAUAUCUCUGCCUCUUUAGAGUCAGUCACUGGCACUUUGUCUGUUUGGUGACAUCAUGUUUCCCUGACUGUUCUUCAUCUUUGUAGUUAUACAUUGAUAUCUGUGCAUUGAAUAUGUAGGUAUUUAUAAACAGUCUUUGCAAUCUGGCUUUGUCUGUGAUUGUCCUUGUAUAGUAGGUCUGUCCAGAAAUUGUAAGCAUACUGUCUUUUUUGGUCUUUAAGCCCGUGAACGCUACAGCCCGUGUAGUGCCAAAUGGUGCCCUAAGCCCAGGUUCCCUGCAGUCCACUCUGUGAUUUGUUUGUUGACUGCUGUGAGCCCCACCCCCAUUCUUUGUUUCUAAUUUACACCUAGCAGGCUAACCCUGCUGGCACCUGCAGUGCUUCCAGGGGGAAAGGACCAUAGUGUGCCCCUGUGAAGAGUCUCAGAAUGGUGCGGAAGGUGAAUGCCCACCUCCCGCUCUCUUUUCCCACUGUAGAAACUGAUUCCAGAGAAAUUCUCCAAGUGCGGUGCUAUGUGGGCUUGCGGGAGAGGUGUUAUGAUCAAACAGAACCAUUCUCUUUACCCUCUGUUCAUGGUUUUUCUUGGCUCUGUGGUCCAGUGAGUUGUCACAGCUUCACUCCCAAUUUCUGGGAUAUUCAGGGCAAUAAUCUUGCCACUGGGUAUUUGCUAGUUGAAAUUAUGUGGUAGGGAGAGAAGCCAGUAAGCUUCACUUCUCCGUUUGGCUGAUGUCACUCUCGAAUUCUGUACUUUCAUACGGAUUGUAAUAGGGAGGGUCUAAAAGGAAGCUUCAGUUUUGGAUUUUUAGAGCUUCUUCUAAGUACAAUUGUUGAAUCAAGAGGUAAAAAUGGUAUGUUAUAACUGGAAAUACGCUGAGAUUAAAAAGGAGAUAAAUUAGCCCCAUUGGGACAGUGCUAUUGGGAAUGUGAAUUGAUACCACUUUCCUGGAGUCUAGUUUAGUAUUUAUUUUAUAUGUAAUGCCUGAAAAGAUGUGUGUCUCCUUUGACUCAAUACUUAUAGGAAUUUACACAAAGGUUAUAAUCAAAGAUUAUAGAACUGUUAUACUGGAAAAACACGAAAUAUUCUAAUUAUGAAUUAAUUGGGGAUUGGUUAAAUAAACUAUGGUUUGAUAUGCUCUAAAAAUAAUGUUACAGAAAAAAGUGUACUGAUAUGGCAAAAUGUAUGACUUAUAGUUAAAAAAGCAGGUUAGAUGUUGAUAGAUACAGUAUGAUAGAAAAAGAUCAGGAAGGUAUAUGCUGACAUUUAAAUCUGGAUAUUUAUGAGUGUUUUUUUUAUUUCAAUCUUUGUACAUGCAUGUAUUUUCUAGAAAUUGUAUUACUAUCUUUGUAAUAAAGUAAAUUAUUUUUAAGGGAC